CUGUGUAUAAUUUUAUUAGGGUGGCUAUGCCUGGGGGAAAUGCUACUUCCAAAGCUGUAGAAAUGACGAGAAAGAAGAUAGUCUUUGGCUUUGAGGUCCAUAUGUGUCAUUGCAUCAGUAACUGGCUGUUGAGCAACUGUGCCUCCCAGUGACUCAUGUGCUUCAAGUAGGCCAUUUGCUCUGGCGACCCAGAGAGACUGUAACCUAUUUUUCCAAAAGAAAAAAAAAAGACACAACACGAGAACAAAGAACAAAUAAUGGCAACUCAUUUCAAAGGCAUGUUCAUUCCUAAAACAGACAUUUGUUAAGUUUGGCAUAUUUAGCCAUCCCUCUUUUCAUGUAACCAUGGUACUGAAAUAGCAAAACUGCUUGUACCUGAGAAUGCUGUUUGUGUCCAUCAGGAUCCAGCCAAGAAAAGAACCCUUGAGGUCUUUUGAACAGAUGGAAUUUAACACAGAUAGAUGAUUAAAGGGUGAUAAGAAGCCAAAGCAGAAGCAACGAGGUGACCAGAGAAGGGGAACAGCUGUAAGAUGCUGCCUGCCUUCUUCCUGGGCCAGAUGAACAGUAAAAGAAGCAUGCCAUAGAAGCCAUUAUCUGACAGCAGCUGUCUGGACAGACUGACCAGUUAGGUUGGGAGCAGAAAAAAAAGAAGUCAGAAAUGGACCUGAAAGCCUAUAGGCACACACAAUAGGAGCACAAAUACCUUUUGGCUAAAUGAGUGAGAAGAGUCAUGGAGAAGGCUGGGUCCCAAACCUUAGAGAAACUCUUAUAGGAUUUCCUAUAAGAUACAGAGAUCUGGGGGAAAACAAGGGAGACCAACCUCCUGGAAGCCACAGCUCAAAAGCAAUGGGCUCUGCCAGAAUCCUGGCUAGGUUUCCAGCAGCUGGUCCUCUGAGUUAGUCACUGAAUCUUGACAGGAGACGCCAAGCACUCAUCCAUGAGCUGUGGGUAUCCAUAACUUCUAAUCCAGGAUCUUCCCUGGGUAACACGGCUUCUUAAGUAAUGAUAACAGUGCUUGCCAAUUUUAGGAAGGCAAGGUAAGAAGCAAUGAGUUAGAUGUUUAGAUACUCAGCAAAACAGAGAAAUGUGCUACAGCAGGAUGUUAAUUGACAAACUAGAGAUACGUGCACUUACUCUCACUUUGAAUUUACAGACUCCAUGGCAUAGCUUACAGGCACAAAUGAGAUAUAAUGCCUAUGUUAGUGGCAGCCCUGCUUUGCUGGGUAAAAGAAAACAAAGGUCUAAGUUUAGAGUUUAUCAAAAGAAACAAGGUAUGGAUUUUUUGAAAACAAUAACAUAGACUUCUUUGCGGUUUCUAUUUGUCUAUCUUAUAUAAUUUUAACUGAAUAAC
rnacentral:lncRNA from 1 species